rnacentral:lncRNA from 1 species
AACCAUCUGCAGCCUGCGGGGGUCUGAGAACAAAGGGAGGAUGAGGCUGGAAGAGGAGGAUAUAAAGGCGGCCAAUAAAGUAGUGGAGUUUAAGGUGAAUGGGGGAAGGAAGGAAGAAGCCUCUGCUGCAUGCUGGGAAUCCAGGAAAAGGUGUGUGUGCGAGUGUGUAUUCACGCGUUUGUUGAUUGCUGUCCACAGAUUACCUGCGGAUGUGAGCUCCCCCUCUGGCCCGCCUCUGCAGGCGGGUUGCCCUGGCAACAGAUGAGUCAAGACAACAGUAAAAGUUAAAGUGCGCCUGAUAAAACACAAAGAAAAAGAAGAAAAAUGUGUCUUUGAAGAGUUGCAGUAGAACUAAACCCGGGGGAGCCUGCAGCACUUCCUCCUGAUGGCAGGAUCCAUGAUGCUUGUCAAAAGCAGCUGGAUCCUCGUCAUUCACACCUAUAAUGGUGUGUUUCAUAGUUUAGAGCAGUUGUUCUCCAACUUUAUUGGACCAGGCUGUGACGUCACACAGUUAAAGGUGGAGCGCUACAGCUGCUGCUGCAGCUCCAUCACACACCGCAUCCACACUCGCUCCGAGCAGGGGGGACUCCUCGGUCCCUGGUCCCUAUCCGAACCCCCUCCUCCACCACCACCAUGUCCUCCGCUGUCACCGAGACGGACGAGUCCUCCCGCGGCUCCCCGCUGACUCCUCUGAAGCUGGUCGGCCUGGUGUGCGUCUUCCUGGCGCUGUGCCUGGACGUGGGAGCCGUGAUGAGUCCGGCGUGGGUGACCGCGGACGACCAGUACUACCUGUCCCUGUGGGAGUCCUGCUGGAAGCCCGUUAGCACCAAUGGAUGGCAGUGCCGCAGCACGCUGGGCUCAGACUGGCAAGUUGCCACGCUGGCCCUGUUGCUAGGGGGCGGAGCUUUGGUGCUGAUGUCAUUCCUGGUCGCUCUGGUUGGCGUGUGCAUCGGCACAAGACGGCAGUUCUACGCGCCCGUCGCCCUCAUGCUUUUCGCUGCAGUCGUCCUCCAGGCCUGCAGUUUGGUCCUCUAUCCAAUCAAGUUCAUCGAGAGCAUCAACCUGAGGAUCUACCACGAGUUCAACUGGGGCUAUGGCCUAGCCUGGGGCAGCACCAUCUUCUCCUUUGGAGGAGGAAUCCUCUACUGCCUCAAUCCCAAGAACUACGAGGAGUACUACUAA